GACAGAGGGUGCAAACGUUGUUCGGAAUUACUGGGCAUAAAGAGCACGUAGGUGGUCCGCUAAGUCACGUGUGAAAUCCCCCGGCUCAACCGGGGAAUGGCGCCCUAAACUGGCGAGCUGGAGUGAGAUAGGGGUGUGUGGAACUUCCGGUGGAGCGGUGAAACGUGUUGAUAUCGGAAGGAACGCCGGUGGCGAAAGCGACACACUGGAUCUUGUCUGACGCUGAGGCACGAAAGCCAGGGGAGCAAACAGG
rnacentral:rRNA from 1 species